AUUUAACCCCUUCAGAUGGGUCAACCAAUGUCCAUACACUGUUGACUUUCAUGGACUCUAUUUUAGAUUUCUUGGCUUCAAGCCAUUUUUUGGAAUUCAGUCUUUGCAUUGCAUCCAUAUAGGUGAUCGGAUCCUCAUUGUUCUCAUCAAGUUCGAUGGGAUCACCGUCCUGGACCAAGAAAUCGUAGUAUCUGUCCGGCUGACGCAGUACUCUACCAG
rnacentral:lncRNA from 1 species